AUGCGUUGUUGGGUAGGGGAGCGUUCUGUAAGCCUGUGAAGGUGUGCUGUGAGGCAUGCUGGAGGUAUCAGAAGUGCGAAUGCUGACAUAAGUAACGAUAAAGCGGGUGAAAAGCCCGCUCGCCGGAAGACCAAGGGUUCCUGUCCAACGUUAAUCGGGGCAGGGUGAGUCGACCCCUAAGGCGAGGCCGAAAGGCGUAGUCGAUGGGAAACAGGUUAAUAUUCCUGUACUUGGUGUUACUGCGAAGGGGGGACGGAGAAGGCUAUGUUGGCCGGGCGACGGUUGUCCCGGUUUAAGCGUGUAGGCUGGUUUUCCAGGCAAAUCCGGAAAAUCAAGGCUGAGGCGUGAUGACGAGGCACUACGGUGCUGAA
rnacentral:rRNA from 1 species